AUGCCUCAUGACAGAUGGAUGCCAGAGACAAGCAGGUUCUGCGUACCCUGCGGCUGGUGCUCUGCUCAGAGGUGCUGGUGGAGGGGCUCAUCAUUCAGUACCUCUACCAGGAAGGCAUUCUAACAGAAAACCACCUUCAAGAAAUAAAGUCCCAAGCCACCAAUCACAGAAAAACCAUGAUGCUUCUAGAUAUCCUUCCUACCAGAGGACCCAAGGCCUUUCAGACUUUCUUAGAUUCCUUACAGGAGUUUCCAUGGGUGAGAGACAACUUGGAGAGAAAACGUAAGGAAAUGAUGGCAGAGGAUCCUGUAGAUGACGGGUUAACUGGAAUUCCACCAGAAGUUUUGAAGAACCCACCAACGGAUCAGCAGAUUAACAAACUUGCCAGGAGUCUGGGGCCUGAGUGGGAGCAUAUUGUACUAUACCUGGGUUUGUCACAGAAUGACAUCUACAGAUGUAAAGUCAAUCACCCUCACAAUGUGCAGUCACAGAUUGUGGCUGCAUUUGUCCUUUGGAGACAGCGUUUUGGAAUCAAAGCAACAAUCCAAAGUCUGCACACCAGUCUGAUGGCCGGAGAAGUGGAUCCUUCUGUGAUCCAGCAUAUGCUUGAGUGAAGUCUUGUCAUCGAUUGGAGGCUCUUGAGUUUUUUGCUAAAUGAAAUGCAUUGGAUUCACUGAAUCACUUAUCAGUGUUCUGAUGUCUCUUAAUUAGAAAGCGAGGAAAUGGCAGACAAGCAGCUUGAGUGACCACCAUUGCAAACUAAACAGACGUACUGUGGUAUUGUCUUUACCAUGGUAUUUCCUGUAUUUCAGCUGUGUACCGCAAUGAGACUUGCACACCACCCAUCUUUUAAGGAUCUCAUCACAGUGCCGUGGGUUGGCAGGUGACCAAGUCUUCACUAUAAUGGAACCUAAGGUGGCACUUGCUGCUGGAAUCUAAGGCCACGUCUACACGCGCCUCUACACGUCUAGACGCGAUAAAUGGAUCCCCGAAUCGAUGCCCAUACUCCACCUCGGCAAGAGGAGUAAGCAGAGUCGACGGGGGAGCCGUGGUGGUCAACUUGCCGCCAUGGGGACAGCCAGGUAAGUCGAGCUAAGAUACUUCGACUUCAGCUACGCGAAUAGCGUAGCUGAAGUUGCGUAUCUUAGAUCGAUCCCCCCCUCCCCCCCCCCAGUGUAGACCAGCCCUUACACUUCCUUCCUGCUGCUUAAAAUCUAUUGAAGGCCCUUUCCACCUCCCAAACAGUGUCUUCUGUUCUAAAAAGCACUGGUGUCCUUUGUAACGAUACCCCUUUGUUUUGGGUUUUUAGCACUUAAUUUAAUUUUUGUAUCUGUUUUGCGCUGUUUUCCUGGAUCAGUUCUAACUCAGCUGUACAGAAUCGGUAGCACCUCUUCAGGGGGUAUAUAUAGAAUUCCAACAGUCAUUAUUCUUGCUCCUGUACAGAAGUGAAAUGCUUGCCCUCAGUGUUUUAGAGAUUGAUUUGUUUUUAAGGGCUGGAGUGUGCCUUUAGGGACUGCCCUGAAUAAGGGACAGUGCAUAACUCGCACCAUCCCAGACGAGGCCCUGGGAAGUAUUGUGUCUUAGACACACCCUUCGCGGGCACAAAUCCCUCGGGGCUCCCUUGAUGCUCUGGAGGGAGAGUCAUUUGCAACACCCCUUUUCUAGGGUGCAGCAUUACUUCCUUACUCCCCACGGCAUGGCCAACCAACCCUGCUGGCUGGUGCAUGACAGGCAUAGCACCAACCUCUCACACCUCUUCCCAUCCAAUCCCUUCCCGCUGCUUUUGUGGGGAGCAUCCGACAGGCAGCCAUUGUGCUCCCCCUGCUCCUAGAUCUAAGUCUGUGCUAAUAUGGCCAUGCAUGGGGAAUCCUUACUGCCAUCUGGUCCCUUGCCUGGUCACAUUAGGGCUAAUCAUAAUUUUGCUGUCAGAGUGUAGAUUGGUGAAGUGGCAUUACUGUUGCUAUAUUUUGUUCUGUGAUCUUAGACCCCCUUCCUCCUCCUUCUCCUCUCUUUUAUAUAAGGUUGAUCUUUAGUUCCUAAAUGCAAAACACACCCCUAAAAUUACCCUGACCAUAAUAGGGCGUUAUAUAAUUCAGUGCCCAUUCUACCACUGACCUAUUUAGAAGAACAAAAUCCAAGUAAUGCAAAUGUACCUUUGCCCCAGUGUCUCUGCCUCAUUCACCGUUGGUAAUGUAAGAGUGUGGUGCUUCUAGCUUUGGCCUUGUAUAUCGACAAACACCUGUCAGGAUGGUCUAAGUAUACUUGGUCCUGCCUCAGCGCAUGGGAGUGGAUUAGAUGACCUCUCAAAGCCCCUUCCAGCUGUACAUUUCUAUGAUUUUUAUACCAUGCAAAUGUGGAUCUGCAUAUGAUGCAAAAAAAUUUGGUCUCAUGAUUAAGGUUAAGAUUCUGUCAUGGGUAUUUUUAGUAAAAGACAGGGAGAGGUCAUGACCUGUCCCUAACUUUUACUAAAAAUACCUUGUCAGAGCACUGCCAGAGGCUAUCCUCUGGCAGCUGUUCUGGUGGCCCCAGGGCUGACAGCUAUUCCAGGCCUGUCCUGGAAGAAGUCACAGAGGUCCCAGAAAGUCACGGAACCCGUGACCUCCGUUGCAGAAUCAUAUCCUUACUCAUAAUAAAUUGUACUGUUAUUUUUUGCCUUAUUAGAAACCAUCCAGUAAUAAAUUUUGAUGCUCCAUCCUCUUGUGUUAGUGCAAGCUGUUUUAGUCCAGUUUUACAAGUACAUAGAGGGUUUUUUCCCCUUCAGUAUGGGAUCCCAGCCCUGAUUUUAGAAGCUAAAAUAUAAAGGAUGCAUUGUAAUACCAUUACUUUACUUGUAUCAAAAUGACCGCACUGCUAGUAUCAACUGUAUUGUUUUUAAAUGAAUACAUAUUUAUAAUUUAAAUGUAAAUUAUGUGUUGAUUUUGGUGGUAUGCUACUCAUGAGGCUUUGAUUUGGAGACAGACUGAGCCGUAGGACCCAGGUCUCUAGGCUGAAGGAGAUUACUUUACUGAGGUCAUGAACUCUCUUUAGGGGAGAGGGAAGAACAUUGAAUGUAUUGCAGUGUAAUACCCUCUGCUGGGUAACCUGUGCAGUACUAUUGCUUUUGCUUUAGAAUAUCUUUGCCCAAAUUCCCAGAUAAGUUCAUAUUAAUGAAAUAGCGUUUCUGGGGAAAGUCAGUAAACAUGUUUUCUUUCCUAAUUUGAAUGUGCUGAAUCUGAAACGAUGUUUACCAAGCUCAAUUUUCAACUUUAAGGUAAAUAAAAACAAUAAAAGAAAAGGGCCACCAUUUACAACUUUAAAAAAAUAAACAUAAAGUAAAGGAGAGGUACUAAAUAUGGACUAUGUUUCUAAUUUGGAAUACUGUGCUCUCAGAAAGAUCUCUGUAGAAGAGCAUACUUCCUCUGGUCACGUGAUAAUAUGGACUUGAAGUUUGUUGGUUCUGCAGUACAUUUAAGAUUAAGUAAACUAACUACUUUUCAGAUUUUUUUUAAUAUGUGAAGAAUGUAAAGGAACUGCUGUGCAUUACACAAAAUAUCAUACUACAACAUGGUAUGAUACAGUUUAUUUCUAUAAGUUCUUCUCUUUCAAAAAUACAAAUUAUUAUUGGCUAAAUAUUCGCUCUUGCCACUACCCCAACCUCAAGCUGUCUUUUGCUUACAAGGUAAGUGAGUUGAGUUUGAUUUGGAUAUCUAUGUCAUGGCAUAAGCUACAUAUGGGUAAAUAUUUUGUAAUUAUGUAUUCAAUAUUUACAUGGUAGUUAUUAUAUUUAUUAUUUU